UUCUCCUGCUAACCUGUCUUGUUAAUUAUUUGGCCAGCCAUAAGACCCUUAAGGGAAAGGGCAGAGGGAGAUUCUCCCUCUUCCCCCGACAGUUUUGGCGUAGUCACCAGGAGCCACACUGGCUGGCAAGUUGCCUUCUCUGGCUGGAAGACCUGCCUUCUCCCUGGACUACUGCAGAUGAUGAGAUAUGGGAACGCCUGAUGAAAGCCGGCAAAAGGAUUAUUUUUUCCCGUAAAGCACUUAGAGAGACAAGGCUUGAAGGAUGCUGCUGCUAAGUCGUGAGGUAUUAAGGACACUUAGAGGGAAACUGGAUGCAGAGACAUUUCUUCAUGUGACCUAAGUAAAAGCUGGAUAGGAGAGCAGGCUCUGAUCUCCUGCUGAAGAAUGGCAAUGCAGGGCUUGACCUCUGAGAGGUUGGUUGAUUUCAUGUUCGAUGUGGCAUCUGGAAGAAAUAAAGGAGCUUUAGAUAUGAGUUGUUGUAAGGGCAUUAUUGGAGUGUCAGCAUUUCUUGGGUUUCUUUAUGGCAGUAUUCAAUGAGUUGACAUGCCAUAAACUGUCCCACCUUGUGUCUCAGGGGUGGGGAAUAGCUGAAAGGUAAAGAAAACCUAUCCUGGACACAAUCCAGCUACCAUUUUCCUAAAUUGCUAACCCUCUGGGAUGUUCAGGUCAGAUUGCUUCUCUUCCCCUCUCUACCCCAGGGUUGAGUGGGCUGCAAAAGCAAUUAAGGUUUAUAAAUGUUAGAAAGCAGAACAUCUGGGUGGCUACAACUCCUACUGAAAGGGAACGAGUGUCAGAAUAUCCUUUGAGAAACCACUGACGUGGGUUGCCAAGGGCUCACCAUUCCUGGAGAUUUUUAGGAAUUAUGCAGAUCCCUUAAAUAUUUUGAAACUUUUGAGAUACAGGAUGCUGUCUGGAGGCAGAUGACUGGAUUGGUCAAUUUAGUUGGUACCGUGAUAACCUUCCUGCCCAGGAAAACCUUUAUUCUGUGCUGUUCCCCUCUCUCCUCGUCCUCCUUUCCCUGUGUGUGGUGAGUUGUUAGAAUGCAGUGGCUGAGCAAGAAUCAGACAGCCCAAGCCCUGACCCACUUGUCUGGCAUUUUGACAGAAAAGGGAAUUAUACCCUUUGCGACUCGAGAGCUAUUGAGUGUUUUGAGUAUGUCCUAAGGGCUGGCUUUCACAGCAUUUUAAUUGGAUGCAGGGAGUCUGAUAGGAAAGACCCAUAGGGAAAGAGUUAAUAUCUAAUGCUGCACACUAGGAAGAGAGCACUCACCAGACACAGACCCCAAGAUUCCCAUCCCCUCAAGAUUUUAGACUGGACAGACUUUCAGGCUGAGAAGCUUCUCAACACAGCCCAGCAUUACUGGCUGGAUAUUGACCCAGGAGGGAGUAGGUGGAGGAAUUCCUUGCCCCAGGCACCAGUUCGGGUCUCAUCUGGGCCCAAAGGUUUGCGUUAGGCUGAGACUCAGGGCCAUUUCAGAGGCCUGGAUCCUGCCCUUUCAUUUCAGGGUAAUCAACUAUGUUUGGACUCCGCAAAGAACUUGAAGCCUUUAACUUGAAGUACUGCAGCUCCUGGACUGCAUGCCAAGUGCUUGGAGGGAAAGCCCAUCUCUGUUGAGGAGUAUCUGACAGGCAGAGGCAGCAGCCGAGUGGACUAGAUCAUCCACUCAGCAUGAAGUGCUAAAGGAACAACCGCUGGAUCACAUAUAACCCUCUAUAGUCUCUGCAUUUGCCCAAAAGUGGGCCUCUUGCUGAUGAGACUUUAUUUUUCCAUAUCCCAAGAAUGAGGUCCGCCUGCUGUGUUGUAUUAAAAAAGCUCAGGAUGUCCCUCCUUAUGUUACAGAGGUUGCAGGAGUCAGACGUUCUGAUGAGAGAGAAAGGGAGGGAACGGCUGUGUAAAGGGGCCAGUCUUUGACUCCAGAAAGCGCUCAAGUCCAGGCUGGAGGGCGUCCACGCCUGGCCCUCGAGGGUGUGCUUCUCCUCCCCGCGACAGAGAGCCCCUUGUCAAGGAACAGCAGGCUGGCAGUGGGUGAGUUAAUUUCUUCUUUGUCGCUGAGGUCAUUGGAAUUUGCACUUGUGUCUGUUCUGUUUGACUGGAGGAUGGUCCUCGUUUUGUUCCUUGACGUGCUCUGCCUUGUGUAAGGGCCAACUUUGAUAUCCAGCAUCACAAGGUUCUCUUCCAUGCAGCAGAUGAAAUGGAGAUUUUUUUUCCUUUUCUUCAAGGCACAGUGAGGGGGCAGGAUUUGUUCUUCAUAAAUCUUUCCAGCUUCCUCAGGGGUGAUUUUAUAUAAAUCCAUCACGGUAUAUAUACAUAUGUGGAUACAAAUGCCUCCUCUUGAGAGGUAGAAUGGGGCAGGGGCUGAUGCAGGGAUGCUGGCACAGACUGCCUGGUUCGAAUACUGAUUCUGCCAUUUCUAGCUGUAUGCAAUCUUUACCUCUCGGUGCCUCAGUUUCCCCAUCUGCAAAAUGGGGUUACUAAUAAUACAGACCUCAUAGUGUUGUGGAGAUUGAGCUAGUAUGUAUACAGCUUUUGGGACAGUGCAUGACAGAAGUAAGCCCUAUAUGUUAGCUAUUAUUAUUUUAUUGUCACCUCUUCCUUUAUUCUAUACCCACCAUCUUUAAAACAGGAACUGUUGGCAUCUCAAAAACCAGGACAGGUUCUCUGAUGACUUUCCCAGCACCUGGGGGUUGUGCUUUUGACCCACUCUCUCUCGGGUCAGGGUCCUUGGUGUUGGGGAGUUAGGACUUCUCGCUGGGGCAUAUCUCCCUCUGACCUCCUCUUCAGCCAUCCUCCCCACUCACGUGGUCCCAGCUCUCUGUUAACUGCCUCCUCCCCUAAUGUGAGAGAGUGAGAAGGUAAAGUGAGUAAGGAAAUAAAAAUCUGACAAGGUCUUUUGCCCUAUUAUAAAGCUUAAGUUUAUAUACAGAUUUGUAAGAGAUAUAAUAUAAUCAUGUUAAUUUAUAUACGCAUGUGCAAAAGCUCCUCUAUUUAUAGACAAUUUAGUAUGUAAAUCCAAUGUGAUAUUUAUAAGCAAUGAAUACUGAUCCAUCAGUGUAAAUCUAAAUUUCAUUUCAUUGUAUCCACUUGCCUCUUUUUAGUACCAUAUUCAACAUACCUGUUAUUUUUGCACUUGAAAGGCAUUAUGAAAUUGUUAAUGAUCAUAAAAUACCUCAAAAGUGAGCCAAACAUAACUUAGAGUUGAUAUAUUUAUACCUGGGGAAGUUUGUAAGUUGAUACUUGCUUCUGUCUAAGUUAAUAACCUGUGUGAGUCUGUAAGCGAGGCUUGGCUUUCUACAAGCAGGCUCGUUUUUGAUGACCAGUGGAAUUAGAAGCAUCACGAUGUAGUUGAAGAGCCACAGGAGUUCGUAUGAGAGGCAAAGUCCCCAGGUGUGGUUGUACCCUGCACAGAGCCCUUGUCUGAGCAGGAGGAGGAGCUGAAAUCCAGCCUAUCCUCCGCUUGGCAAACUACGUGAUCUGGCUCAGCACCCCAUCAAAGACAGGAAGUGGCAUCUGCCCAGAAGGGGCACCUAAUUGGCAUUUUUUUCCUAAUUUGCAGUAAAUGCUGAAAAUGGCCCUGAGCAAGUAUGAGUUUCAAGUCCUGGCAAAUUGCUAGUUAACAUUGUGAACUUGGGAAAGUCAAUCUUCUGAAAGGCACCUCCUUAGCUAUAGCUUAUAUUACAGGAGUGUUGUGAGAAAUGUGAAAGUAUAUAUACCAAACAAGAUAUGCUUUUAAUCCCCUAAUUUACACCGCUACCUUCAUGCUGGGCUCUGUUAUAGGGGCUGGGAGUACAGUAGUGAACAAGAAGACAAAACCCCUCUGGUGGCCUCCAGAACACAUCCACUUGAUGUCCCCAUGGUUAUCUUAGGCUCACCAUGUCCAAAACUGGAAUGAGCAUCUUUCUUCCCAGCCUUGCUCCUCUUCCUACAUUCCCUGUCUCAUGGACUGGCAUCACAUCGACCAAUUGCCCAAUUCAGAAGCUGGAGAGAGACACAUUCUCAUUCACCCCACAUUUAAUCAUGAAGAUCUAUUACUUUUUUCUCCUUAAUAUUUCUUCUAUACAAUUGUUACCACUUUGGUUCAAUUUCUCAUUUCUUCUUGCAGGAAUGAGGAUGAUAAGGAGGAUGAUAAUGAAGACAUUGAUUUAUUUAUGCAACAAAUAUUUACUGAGCACCUGUUAUGUGAGAAACCAAUGUUUCCAGUCAAAAAAUAGUCAAUACUCAGCAUCAUUUGUCAUUAGGAAAAUGCAAAUUAAAGCCACAAUGAGAUACAACUAUGUCCUUAUUACUUUGCCUAAAAACAGCAAUAGCAACACACUGAUAAUUCUAAGUGCUGGUAAGGAUGCAGAGCAACUGGAAUUGUCAUAUAUUUUUGGUAGGAAUGCAAAAUAUUAUAGUUACUCUGAAAAAGAGUUUGGCAGUUUUUUAUAAAAUUAAACAAAUAUUUAUUCCUGCAACCUGGUAAUCCCACUCCUAGGUAUUUUCCCAAGUUAGAAAGAAAGCUAUGUUCACAUAAAACCUGUAUGUGACUAUUUAUAGCCACUUUACUUAUAAUCUCCAAAAAAUCAGAAACAACUCAAACGUCCUUCAGCUGGAGAAUGAAUAAAUAAACUGUGUUACAUCCAUACAGUGGGGCGCUAUUCAGCAAUAAAAAGGAUUGAACUACUGACACAUGUAACAACAUGGAUGAAUCUCAAAUGCCUUAUGCCAAGUGAAGGAACUCAGACUCAAAAAGCCUAUGACUGUAUAUGACAUUCUGGAUAAGGCAAAACUGUAGGGACAGAAAAUAAGUGAUCUCCAGGGGUUAGAGUGAGGGGAGGUGUUGAUUAGAAAGGGUCAUGGAGGAUUCAACCCAGGUCUGUUUGAUUGUCACACUAACUUCCCAUGUAGCUUCACCACUGAUUUUCCAGUUUCUGCUCUCUGCCCAUCUAGAAUCUCCCCUCACCCAGGCUGCUAGCACGAACUUUCUAAAUCCAAAGCUGAGCUUAGGACUCUGGUGUUGAAAAGUCUUUCGAUGGCUCACUGUUGCUUUCAAUAUUCAAAUACCUCAGUAGAUACUGUUCAAUGCCUUCGCUUUUAGGACACAAGGGCCCUCCCAAAUUUGUUCUUUUGGCCUGUCUGCCUUCCUUUUCCAUCACUCUUCCACGUGCACUCUUUUCUUUAGCUUUUUGUCAAUUCUUGGAGUUUAUGCUAUUUAGCACCUCUGAGACACUCCACGUGGUCUUCCCUUUGUAUGGAUCUCUCCUCUUUUAUUUCUUGGUCUGAGCAGUUCCUACUCUUCCUUCAAAAGCCAGCUGGAGCAUCACUUACUCCAGGAAGUCACCUGCUCAUUGCUGCACAUGCUUCUUUCACACUUUGAUCACACUGAUAUGUUGACUGUCUUGGAGUCUGCCUGCCUAGAUGGUCGAUUUUUGAAGACAGAGACGAUGUCUCAGUAUUCCUAACCCUUGGAACAGUCCUGGGCAUGGGACAGAUACCCAAUAAAUAGGUUUUGAACAGAAUUGCUCUCUAAUCAUAAACUGCAGUUAUUACCUUAGGGUUCAGCCCCUGUCAUCCCCACAUGGAAAUGUAUGUACAUGAUACUUCUGUUCGAGUUUAUUUUGAUUUACUCUGGUCUUUUCUUAUAUCCUCGUGGCCAAUGCCUUAUGAACAAGAACCGAGAGAGGUGGGUGAGUGAGAUGUAGUACACUGAACACACAUUUAAGGACUUUCUCCAGGAAUCAUCUAGUUCUGGUCCCAAUUAUAUUUUGGGUGUGAAAGAUGAAUGUUAGUGACAAAGAUAAACACAAAGAAAGUUCUUGCUUUUCGGAAAAUGUGGCUGGUUAAAGAAUGCUUAACCUGGUGUGAGGUGUGCAGUGUGAACCUAAAUGACUAGAGUUGUAGGGCUUUGCCUGGAAAGUGAUUAAGAGAGGUGGUCAGUCAUCUGUGUCGUGACUUGGGUUAGCUGGCACUCGUGAGGACGGCUUUGUGGUUAAUAAGGAUAAGGUCUGUAGCACUGGGACAUCUGACUUCAGCAGCAGUAAUAACUGUUAGAUGGACUUUGGCUCUGCAAGUGUUUAGGAGGCCUGGAGGGACACACCAGUGAUUCUAAGCUGUUCUUUGUAAUUCCCUUAACUGCCCUUGGCUCACCUAGUUAUUAAGAAAUCUUAAUUCCCCAGUCUUGUUAGCUGAACAAUCACUCUUGCUUCACAUAUAAACAUAUAUAUGUGCUUUUAUUUUAGUCUCUCGUGGUUCUAAGUUUUAUUUAACAAAAGUGGAUCUUCAAACUUGGAGGGCAUUUUGAUAUUCUGAGUCAACAUCCAUUACUAAUAUUACAAGAUACAAUGUCAGAGAGCUUGCAUCUCUGGGAGGAGGAGGAUCCGGAGAAAGAGCCCAAGGAAAGUUGGGAGGGCAGAGGGCUCGGUUCUCAGCUUGCCUCUGUGUAAACGGCUUCUGUCUGCCCUUACUGUGCCUGAGUGAUCCUGCAGAAGAGACGUGCUCCUUAUUGCCCAUGGAGCUCCUGAGAUGAGCUCUCCUGACUGCCAUGUUGAAAAUGUCAGCCCCAGAUGGUCUGGUGGUUACAUUUUCUCAAAACAGUUGGGAGCUUCUGCCAAUUUCUCUAUGGAAUGAAAAAGAUAAUUUUUUAAAAUGCUGAUUAACAGAGCAAAAUGUACUUGAGCUGGUAACAGAUUUUUUUCCUCCUCCCUCCAUCCACUAGCUGCAAAACAACCUAUGAUUCAAAACUUGAGAAAGAAACCAAUUAAUUUACUGAGAGACAAUACUUUGGAGAAAGGGGAAAACGUGGUGGCCAAAGGUGGAGAAACAGCUCCCAAGAGUUGUAAGUAUCGGAGGCCGUCUCCUGUUUAUCUCCCCCAACACCAUGAGGCUCUGAGGAGGUCAGCACCUUGCUUGUCAGCCCAUGAUUUUGGUGCUGGCUCAAAGUCCAGCAAGUCUACCAGGACACUCUGUGCAUCUUUGUCUGUCCUGCUGUGCCCAAUCAUGGCUGGGACUUUUGAAAUUCAUAGGUGCCCCAAGACUUCCUGUGAAAUGAAGUGAAAUCCCAGGAGUGUGAUAAGAUGGGGACUGGGGAACUGAAAGCACUUUUGUUCCUGAUGUCAGGACUCCUCUCAGUUCCCUGACAAGUCUGAGGAGGCCUGAAUCAACAUUCCAGCCUGAUAUAAGGCAACCAGUUGGUCCAUAUCUGCAUGAGGAGAUCAGAAGCUUGAAUACUAAGUAGGUAAUUGACUACAGGUUAUUUUCUUUGAUCAUGCCUGAACACGUAUUUCUCAUGGUGCCUGGUGUCUUGGUUCCAUCCCCUGUUCUGAGAUUUGAAGAAUUUCACCAUCUACUGUUCCUGACCCUGUAUAUGCCAAGGUCCCCAAUUAUAGUCCUGUAGAAGGGAGCUUAAGAGCCUUCAGUCCUGAACCUAUUGACUAAUUUUAGUUUUAACUAGGUACAUAAAAUAUGGAGCAAAAGCAAUGAGAAGGUAGCAGAAAGUUAGGAGAGAUCAUGCAAACUCCCCUUGGAUCUUUCUCUGGAUGGAAAAAGAAAAUGGCCGUCUUUGGAUAUGUGAUCCUGCAGGAUGAUUAAUGCAAACCAGUGGAAGUUAGUGUUUCCUCCCUCUGAAACCUUCCAAGUUUGGAUCUCAGGGCCAGAAGUGCCCACCGUUGAUGAGAAGCAGGAGAUGUGGGACUCUGCAAAUCUCUGGUCCUCACUCCACAUGGUGACAGGGUGUUGCACAUCAGUCUUCUGCCUGGUCAAGUGAUCCUUGACACAACUUCCAUUUCCAAAGGCCCUUGAGAGUCUGCAGCCCAGGCACUCUCUUGUUCUGAGGGAGGUCAUGCCUUCCUGCCCUGAUGUGCUCAUAUAAGAUGGCAGUUGUUUUGUGGCAUUCUCUAGGGGUCUUUUUCUCCCUCUAACAUUGAGGGAACAGGAGUCUGCCCCGUGUUUAUUCUGAAGUCCCUAGCCCCUAUCCCUUCAGAAAGGAGAAAGCUAUUUUCUUUCUGUAGAGGUUCUGGCUCUAACCUUGAUCUUUGGCUGUCCUCUCCCACUUUGCUGUAUGUCUUCCUUCCUGGUGUGCUCAUGUGGCCUCUUUGCAGAGUCCCUCGUGCACGUAGAGUCACUGUUUGCCUAUUGAUCCGUCAACUACCAAUGGUUUUGGGCGGAGUGUAAGCACCUUUGUAGCUACGUGACAUUUGGACAGCUAGAUUAGUCUUUCCUAAAUUCCCACUCUGACCUGCAAGUACCAGGGCAUGGCUGAAGUUGCAGUAGCUCUUUCAGGGCAUUGAGUCAGUAAGUAAUGAUGGAAGUGAACUCAAUGGGACCUUCAAGGCCCUGAUUUAUCUCAAUCCCAGGACCUCUUUACUAAUCUUUUACCUUUAUACUUAGAUUCUGAGUUCACACUAUACUAAUUAGCAUUUAUUUACAUAUUGCUUCCUUAAGCCUUCCUUCAGCAUUAUGGCUGUAACUAUCUAACACACACACACACACACACGCACGCACGCAAAUAGGCAUAUUUACAGGUACAUUCUUUCAGUUUUUAAAACUUAUUUGCAGACUCCCUAGCAAUACUUUUUUAUCUUCUUAUUGAAGAUAUGUUAGCAAAUUUUGUUCAAAGGCACAUGACUCAAAAGCACACAUUAUCUUUGCCUUUAAGAAACAUUUAAACACUCAGAAAUUCCACUCCUAGCUAUGUUCCCAUGAGAAAUAAAAACAUAUGUCUAAAAAACACUUGUACAAGAAUGUUCAUGGCAGCAUUAUUCGUAAUAGCCAAAAAGUGAAACAAUCCAAAUAUCCGUGAACUGAUGGGUGGAUAAAUAAAAUUUAGUGCAUCCAUAUAAUGGAAUAUUAUUUGGCAAAAAAAAGGAAUGAAGUACUGGUACAUGCUGUAAGAUAGAUGAGCUUUGAAAACAUUACAGUAAGUGAAAGAAGCCAGACACAAAAGACCACAUAAUGUAUGAUUCUAUUUAUAUGAAAUAUUCAUAAUAUGCAAAUCUAUAGGGAUGGAAAGUACGUGAGUGAUUGCCCAGGACUGGGGAACUGGGGGAUUGGGGAUAAAUAAUAUCUGCCAAUGGGUAUGGGGUUUCUCUUUGAUAUGAUAAACAUACCCUAACCUUGAUUGUGGUGAUGGUUGCACAACUCUGUGAACACACUAAAAACUACUGAAUUGUGUACUUUAAA